rnacentral:rRNA from 1 species
ACAAAGGUAUUGAAAUAAGACUUUAAUUGAGUGCUAAAAGAAUGGAUUAACGGAAAAAUUCUUUUUUAAUUUCAAAAAUUGAAGUUAUUUUUGUCAGUGAAGAAACUACAAUAAAAAUUAAGGACAAGAAGACCCUAAGAAUUUUUAAUAAUUUAAAAAAAAACUUUUUUUAAAUUAUUUUAAUUGGGGCGAUUAACAAAAAUAAGAAACUUUAUUUUUCCAAAAAAAUGAACCAUUAAUAAUGGUCGUAUGAAAAAAAUACUCUAGGGAUAACAGCG